rnacentral:rRNA from 1 species
GACGUAGGGAGCAAGCGUUGUCCGGAAUUACUGGGCGUAAAGAGCUCGUAGGCGGGAGCGUACGUCCGAGAGGAAAUCUCAAGGCUCAACUUUGGGGCUUUCUCGGAUACGGCGCUUCUUGAGGGUAAGAGAGGAAAGCAGAAUUCCCGGUGUAGCGGUGAAAUGCGUAGAUAUCGGGAGGAAUACCAGUGGCGAAGGCGGCUUUCUGGCUUACUCCUGACGCUGAGGAGCGAAAGCGUGGGGAGCAAACGGG